rnacentral:rRNA from 1 species
GAUUUUUGGACAAUGGGCGAAAGCCUGAUCCAGCAAUGCCGCGUGCAGGAUGAAGGCCUUCGGGUUGUACACUGCUUUUGUACGGAACGAAAAUCUUUGGUUUAAUACCCUGGAGUCAUGACUGUACCGUAAGAAUAAGCACCGACUAACUACGUCCCAGCAUCCACGGUAAAACGUAGGGUGCAAGCGUUAAUCGGAAUUACUGGGCGUAAAGCGUGCGCAGGGGGUGUUGUAAGACAGAGGUGAAAUCGCCGGGCUCAAACUGGGAACUGCCUUGGUGACUGCAAGGCUAGAGUACGGCAGAGGGGGGUGGAAUUCCGCGUGUAGAAGUGAAAUGCGUAGAUAUGCGGAGGAACACCGAUGGCGAAGGCAACCCCCUGGGCCUGUACUGACGCUCAUGCACGAAAGCGUGGGGAGCAAACA